GAAGGAGCCGGCGGAACGAUCCCAUACUGGGAGGAGCCCAGUCCAAACUGGGAGGAGCCCAACCCAAACUGGGAGGAGCCCAAUCCAUACUGGGAAGACCCCAACCCAAACUGGGAGGAGCCCAACCCAAACUGGGAGGACCCCAACCCAAACUGGGAAGACCCCAAUUCCAACACAACACGAGGCCGCCAUCUUGUUUUUCCGCCAUGUUUUCCGCCCCAACCCGACCCCGCCAUGGAAUCCACCGCCAUCUCGGUCUCCCGCCCCACGGCCGGACCCCCAACCAACCCCUCUCCUCCUCCCCACGGCGCCGCCGCCGCCGUCACCCUCCGUAUCCGUCGUGCAGCCGGUCCACGUCG
rnacentral:lncRNA from 1 species